GUCGAACGAUGACGUCACUGCUUGCAGUGAUUGAUUAGUGGCGAACGGGUGAGUAACACGUGAGGAACUUGCCCAUGAGCGGGGGACAACAUUCGGAAACGGAUGCUAAUACCCCAUAGGUGGAUUGGUCGCAUGACUAAUUCAUUAAAGGUGGCUCUGCUACCACUCAUGGAUAGCCUCGCGGCGUAUUAGCUAGUUGGUAAGGUAAUGGCUUACCAAGGCAGUGAUACGUAGCCGACUUGAGAGGGUGAUCGGCCACACUGGGACUGAGACACGGCCCAGACUCCUACGGGAGGCAGCAGUAGGGAAUCUUCCACAAUGGGUGCAAACCUGAUGGAGCAAUGCCGCGUGAGUGAAGAGGGUCUUCGGAUCGUAAAGCUCUGUUGUUAGAGAAGAACACGUGCUAGGUAACUACUAGCGCCUUGACGGUAUCUAACCAGAAAGUCACGGCUAACUACGUGCCAGCAGCCGCGGUAAUACGUAGGUGACAAGCGUUGUCCGGAUUUAUUGGGCGUAAAGGGAGCGCAGGCGGUCUGUUUAGUCUAAUGUGAAAGCCCACGGCUUAACCGUGGAACGGCAUUGGAAACUGACAGACUUGAAUGUAGAAGAGGAAAAUGGAAUUCCAAGUGUAGCGGUGGAAUGCGUAGAUAUUUGGAGGAACACCAGUGGCGAAGGCGAUUUUCUGGUCUAACAUUGACGCUGAGGCUCGAAAGCGUGGGGAGCGAACAGGAUUA
rnacentral:rRNA from 1 species